UACAGAGACUGCAAGCGUUAUUCGGAUUCACUGGGCGUAAAGGGUGCGUAGGUGGCGCGCUAAGUCAGAUGUGAAAUUUCGGAGCUUAACUCCGAAACUGCAUUUGAUACUGGCGUGCUUGAGGACUGGAGAGGAGACUGGAAUUCACGGUGUAGCAGUGAAAUGCGUAGAUAUCGUGAGGAAGACCAGUGGCGAAGGCGGGUCUCUG
rnacentral:rRNA from 1 species